ensembl:snRNA U1 U1 spliceosomal RNA
UAAUCAAUAUGACUAGUUCCUUUAGAGACAUUAGCCAGUUAUCUAUUGAAUUCCAGAUGUGCUGACCUCUGUGAUUUCCCCAAAUAUGGGAAACUCGAUGGCAUAAUUUUUGGAGAACUGCAUUCAUGCUCUCCCCUA